UUUGACCUCAAAUCAGGUAGGACUACCCGCUGAACUUAAGCAUAUCAAUAAGCGGAGGAAAAGAAACUAACAAGGAUUCCCUUAGUAACUGCGAGUGAAGCGGGAAAAGCUCAAAUUUAAAAGCUGGCAGUCUUCGAUUGUCCGCAUUGUAAUCUAGAGAAGUGUUACCCGCGUUGGACCGUGUAUAAGUCUCCUGGAAUGGAGCGUCGUAGAGGGUGACAAUCCCGUCUUUGACACGGAUAACCAAGGCUUUUGUGGUGCGCUCUCAAAGAGUCGAGUUGUUUGGGAAUGCAGCUCAAAAUGGGUGGUAAAUUCCAUCUAAAGCUAAAUAUUGGCGAGAGACCGAUAGCGAACAAGUACCGUGAGGGAAAGAUGAAAAGAACUUUGGAAAGAGAGUUAAAUAGUACGUGAAAUUGCUGAAAGGGAAACGCUUGAAGUCAGUCGCGUUAACUUUGAGAUCAACUCAGCUUAUGUUGGGUUUAUUCUCUUAUUGACGGGUCAGCAUCAGUUUUGAUCAUUGGAAAAGGGUGAAGGGAAUGUGGCAUCUUCGGAUGUGUUAUAGUCCUUCAUCAUAUACAUUGGUUGAGACUGAGGAACUCAGCACGCCGCAAGGCCGGG
rnacentral:rRNA from 1 species